CGCUGUGUAUAAAUACUGGAACAAAAGAACUUCCUCAAUGCCCGGUGAAAAGGCAAUAAAUAAACUCACAGCUAAUCAUCGCGAACCAGAAUGAUUAUUUGAUCAGUAGGUUUUUAAUCUGUGUGGUAAUAUUGGUUUUACCAUAUUGGAGACUUUUUUGUAUUUCCCACAAACCAAGGAAUACUUCGUGCAUUCGCGUUUCUCUUCAAAUGAUGGAGUGCCGGAGCCCUGUGUUGAAGCAAAAAAAAAUUAACAAGAAUGGGGAGUUUCUGUCUUUCAAGGUGUGUGUGUGUGUGUGUGUGUGUGUGUGUGUGUGUGUGUGUGUGUGUGUGUGUGUGUGUGUGUGUGUGUGUGUGUAAAAUAUGCUUUUCAGGUGGUGGUGUAGCAGCACAGAAUGGUUUGUGGUGAUACAGAGAUGCAGGCCGUACUGUGCUGCAGCAUCAGUGCCUAGGACUUGCAUCACACUUGUAGGUGUGGGAGUGCGUGUUGUCUUGCUUUAGCAGCAUGUAAAUAUUGGAGUUACACCAUGACAGAUGUCUCCAGUAUGUUCGUGCUGCUGAAGUAAGAAGUCACCAAGCGGCGCAAGAUCUUUGUCCUGACUUCGGUUUAGUAAGCAGCGUUCCUUUGGCUGACUCACCGCUACAAAUGUCCGUUCAUCCAGCAGUCGCACAUCUAGCUUCUUCAGCAGUGAUCACUGAUUAAAGGUAAACACAGAAGAAGAGAGAGGAAAAAGUGAUGUAAUUGAUUUUCUUUGCAAAAUUUCUGUACAUUUUGUAUAUUUGUUUUAGCGUUUGUUUCUGAAAUGUGCUACAAAUUGUUUGUUCUAUAAUGUAUUCUGCUUGGUUUGCCAAAUUAAAAGCUUUCUGAAAAACUUUAGUGUUUACCUAAAGCACUGCUUUAAAUCAUACUUUUGUCACGUGGUCAGAGAUGUUACCGCGAUACUUUGCAUGCAUAUAGCCAAAAGCUUCAUUGCGAGCUGGUGGCUGAUUAAACAGAGCUGAGCUUUCACAGCUGGGUUGCAAUCAAAUUCUUA